AAUGCAUUAGGCCAUAAGGGUUUUCGCAGUGCCGGUUAAUCUUUCAUCAGUUAUAGAUAUUAUAGUCAUAUAUAGUAUUUAUAUUUUUGGAAAAACAUAUUCAGAAAUGAGGCUACUUCCGGUUUUUCUCGCAUGCGCAGUGAGUGUAGCGGUCGUUUACAUCCAGCAGGGUGCUGCACAAGCGGUCACGUACGGGGUGUUCGGAGCGUACGGCGGAUAUUUGCUGGGUGGAUUUAUAAUUCUCCUUGCGCUGCUGUAUAACAGUCGUCAGAGGGACCCCUUCUCAAUCACGAUCAACAACUCAGCUAUGUCGCUUGGGAGCGGCUCUCCGGGUCCUCUUUAAAAAACGCGGACCACGGAGCCUGGGUCACCCUACCAACGAUCAAGAGGAAACCGUCAAUGCAUUGUUUUUGAUUCAGCCAUACAGUGCUUACAUGGACAUGCAGUAUACACAUCAAUACAUAUUUAUUAAAAAAGAAAAUAAACGAACUGUAAUUCAUGUUAGAUCAACAUUAUGUUUUGUUUUGAAUAAAAUUGUACUGGUGAGGAUUUCAUGCAUGUUUGACAGAUUAC